UACGGAGGAUGCAAGCGUUAUCCGGAAUCAUUGGGCGUAAAGCGUCCGUAGGUGGCGUUUCAAGUCUGCUGUCAAAGCACAAGGCUUAACCUUGUAAAGGCAGUGGAAACUGAAAGAGCUAGAGUGCGGUAGGGGUAGAGGGAAUUCCCAGUGUAGCGGUGAAAUGCGUAGAGAUUGGGAAGAACACCGGUGGCGAAAGCGCUCUACUGGGCCUGCACUGACACUGAGGGACGAAAGCGUGGGGAGCGAACGGG
rnacentral:rRNA from 1 species